rnacentral:rRNA from 1 species
AUGAACGCUGGCGGCGUGCUUAACACAUGCAAGUCGAACGAAGCACAGGAAUGGAUCCCUUCGGGGUGAAGCUCCUGUGACUGAGUGGCGGACGGGUGAGUAACGCGUGGGUAACCUGCCUCAUACAGGGGGAUAACAGCUGGAAACGGCUGCUAAUACCGCAUAAGCGCACGGUAUCGCAUGAUGCAGUGUGAAAAACUCCGGUGGUAUGAGAUGGACCCGCGUCUGAUUAGCUGGUUGGCGAGGUAACGGCUCACCAAGGCGACGAUCAGUAGCCGACCUGAGAGGGUGACCGGCCACAUUGGGACUGAGACACGGCCCAAACUCCUACGGGAGGCAGCAGUGGGGAAUAUUGCACAAUGGGGGAAACCCUGAUGCAGCGACGCCGCGUGAGCGAAGAAGUAUUUCGGUAUGUAAAGCUCUAUCAGCAGGGAAGAAGAAUGACGGUACCUGACUAAGAAGCACCGGCUAAAUACGUG